CAUGGUUGUCGUCAGCUCGUGUCGUGAGAUGUUGGGUUAAGUCCCGCAACGAGCGCNACCCUUGAUCUUAGUUGCCAGCAUUCAGUUGGGCACUCUAAGGUGACUGCCGGUGACAAACCGGAGGAAGGUGGGGAUGACGUCAAAUCAUCAUGCCCCUUAUGACCUGGGCUACACACGUGCUACAAUGGACAGAACAAAGGGCAGCGAAACCGCGAGGUUAAGCCAAUCCCACAAAUCUGUUCUCAGUUCGGAUCGCANUCUGCAACUCGACUGCGUGAAGCUGGAAUCGCUAGUAAUCGCGGAUCAGCAUGCCGCGGUGAAUACGUUCCCGGGNCUUGUACACACCGCCCGUCACACCACGAGAGUUUGUAACACCCNAANUCG
rnacentral:rRNA from 1 species